GCGAGGCGGAAAAAUACUCAUUUAUCCCCAGCUUCUGUUGAUUAGCUCAUUUUCACUGCGGCCUCUUCUCUUCGCUUUCCGUGUUGCAGUUUCUCUGAGGGAAAUGGCGGCUCCCGAGCAGCCUCUACCGCCGAUGGCAAGAGGAUGUCAGAGCUAUGCUUCACUCUCUCCGUCACGGGGCGACCGAACCCUUCUUGUGAGGCACCUGCCAGCCGAGCUGACUGCUGAGGAGAAAGAGGAUUUGCUGAAAUAUUUCGGGGCGCAAUCGGUGCGCGUCCUGUCAGAUAAGGGACGACUGAAACAUACAGCUUUUGCUACUUUUCCUAGUGAAAAAGCAGCUAUAAAGGCAUUGACAAGACUACAUCAGCUGAAACUUUUGGGUCAUACUUUAGUUGUUGAAUUUGCAAAAGAACAAGAUCGAGUUCAUUCCCCAUGUCCCUCUUCAGACCCUGAAAAAAAGAAAAGAUCUGAUGAUCCUGUGGAAGAUGAUAAAGAAAAGAAAGAACUUGGUUGUUUAACCAUAGAAAAUGGGAUUGCACCAAACCAUGGGCUGACUUUUCCUCUGAAUUCAUGUCUCAAGUAUAUGUACCCACCACCUUCAAGCACAAUCCUAGCAAACAUAGUAAAUGCUUUGGCAAGUGUGCCUAAGUUCUAUGUACAGGUUCUUCAUCUUAUGAAUAAAAUGAAUUUGCCCACACCUUUUGGACCAAUUACUGCGCGACCUCCCAUGUAUGAAGACUAUAUGCCAUUACAUGCACCUCUUCCACCUGCAUCUCCUCAGCCACCAGAGGAACCUCCUUUGCCAGAUGAGGAGGAGGAAUUAUCAAGUAAAGAAUCAGAAUAUGAAAGUAGUGAUGAUGAAGACCGACAGAGAAUGACCAAACUAAUGGAACUAGCAAAUCUUCAGCCCAAAAGACCAAAAACAAUAAAGCAGCACCAUGUUAGAAAAAAGCAAAAAAUAAAGGAUAUGUUGAAAACACCAUCUACUGCACACAGCAGUUUACAUCCAGUGUUGUUACCUUCGGAUGUAUUUGACCAACCACAACCUGUAGGUAAUAAGAAAAUUGAAUUUCAUAUAUCUACUGACAUGCCAUCUGCAUUUAAGAAAGAUCUAGGAAAAGAACAAAAUUGUGAAGAACAAAAUUAUGAUUUACCUGCUACUGAGGGUGAUGCACCCAAUGUAGGAUUUGGAAAAAUCUUCCCCAAACCUAAUUUGAACAUCACAGAGGAGAUUAAAGAAGACUGUGAUGAAAUGCCAUCAGAGUGUAUUUCUAGAAGGGAGUUGGAAAAAGGCAGAAUUUCUAGAGAAGAAAUGGAAACACUUUCAGUUUUCAGAAGUUAUGAACCUGGUGAACCAAACUGUAGAAUUUACGUAAAGAAUUUAGCUAAACAUGUUCAAGAAAAGGACCUUAAGUUUAUUUUUGGGAGAUACGUUGACUUUUCUUCAGAAACACAACGGAUAAUGUUUGAUAUACGUUUGAUGAAAGAAGGUCGCAUGAAAGGACAAGCUUUCAUUGGACUUCCAAAUGAAAAAGCAGCAGCAAAAGCCUUAAAGGAAGCUAAUGGAUAUGUUCUUUUUGGAAAACCUAUGGUGGUUCAAUUUGCUCGAUCUGCUAGACCAAAACAAGAUUCUAAAGAAGGAAAAAGAAAGUGUUAAAAAUUAAUAAAGAAGCAUUCCUGCGUAAAUACUGCUGUAAUACUGUCAUACAAAGUGAAUAAGAAAAGAGGAACAGAGAGGAGAAGACAUAAUGUUGACUCAGGGUAGCACAUUAAUUGAAAAGAAACAAUACUGGUUCCUUUUGCUUCCAUGUCUUCCAACUGCUUUCCAACUUUGAGGAGAAGAAAUUGACACCUGGACUAUGGAACUGUGCGUAACAGCUUUUAAAGUAUAUUUAAAAAUUAAAUCUAUAUGCAUUUAAAUCUGUUUAUUGGGGAUAUAUUACAUGUAUUUUAAUCAUCUUCCUCAUAUAUAAUAAAUUAUUUUCUUUCCAAUAAAUAAUGUUCUUAAUUUUUCUUUAUGUUUAAUACAUUUGGAAAGUGUAAUUUGAUAAUUACAUAAAAAAUUUUUCAGGUAAAAAAAAAUUUUUUUUCAGGUAAUUUUACAAUACUAAAUAGAAAUUUUCUUUUAUGAUUACGGAUACAGCUUUUUUUUCAUUCUUACCUGGAUACCACUGCACUCACAUACUUUUUUUUUUUUUUUAUACUAAUGUUACUUCUUAUUUCUUGUAAUUAUUUUAGGAGUGGUUUGUUUGGCUAUGAGUUUUGCUGUUUUUUGUUGUUGCUUGUUUUGUUUUAGUAGUGGGAGAUUUUUCCCACUUCAGGGGAUUUGUAUUCUUGUUCUUAAUUGUCUUUUAUUUUGGUGCCCCCAAACCUUAAAGGUGUAAAUGUUUCCCAUACAAAAGUAUCCUGUUGUCUUAGUGAAAUUAGUUUCAGCUAUGUGUUAAUAUAAAACUUUGAUAUAUUUAAUUUGUUUAUUAAAAGUGUCCUGUGAAUAUGUAAUAGUAGCUUCAUCUUAGAAUCACUGCCCAAAGACUUGGGUCUUUGUUAGAAUGCUGUUGUGAACCACAGUUUAUUCCUCAUAGCAUCGUGAAAUAAAGAAAAUAGAAAUUUUAAAGGUAAGCAUUAGAAGUAUGGUGAAGUGAAUCCGGGAACAUGCUCGUGUUUAGAUGUCAAAUAUGUAAAGAAGACUAAGGAAUAGGCAGAAGACAAAUGAAGAAGGUAUCUCAAGUAGGAAGGGGUGGUCAACUACAUCAGAUCUGUUCUUAACACACCUCUCUCCUGACAAACUGAUUUGAUGGAUGGAAGAAAUGAGAGAAGGUAUUAGAAUAGUAGAGAGGAAUUUUAAUAUAGUGAGAAAUGAAGAUGACUGUUAGAAGAGUCUUGCUCUCAAGGGGAAUAGAAAAAUGUUCUCUUAAUCUAGGGAGAUACAGUAUCAAAAAGGUUUUUGAUUUUGUUUUGUUUUAUAAAGAUUUAGGAUAUAGCACGUUUGUGUGGACUAAUCCAGUAGAGGAAAAAGCAAAACCAAGGAUGAUAUAGGAGGGAAAGGGAUAUUGCUGGAGGUACAGAUAUGGUGUACAAAUAGAAGAGUUAGUUUUAAAGAUGGGCAUGCAAACAUCUCAUUAAUAGCAACAGAAGGGACAGAUUGUGUAAGUCUAAAUGGUUAUAGUUUGGUAGAUACAUAGUAGGAGCAUGUAGAAGUUGUGUUCUAUUUUUUUCAGUGAAAUAGGAAGGAAGUAAGAUCUUGAAGAGGAAAAGAGUGUUGGAUCCAGGGGCAAAAAGGAAGGUGUAAAAUAGACACUUGAAUGGCAGAGUGAAUAGACUUAGAAGGAUGGCUAGAAGGUACUUAAGUGGUGUUUUGAAGUCUGUUGUUAAUUUAAGUGACACUAGUCAAAUAGUUCUGUGUUCAUUUCCAAGUAUUCUAGAAUUGGUGCUAUCACUAAGUAGACAGAAUUGAAUUUAAUUAGAAUUGGAAUAUUCCUAGGUGAAUACAGCCAAGUGGGAGAAAUGAAAAAGUGUUGAUACACUCAAGGGAAUGAGUAUAAAGAAGGGGUGUAGAAAGAGAUCUGCGUAAAGAGCAAAGUGAGAAAAUGAAGGUUAAGACACAAUGGAGAAAUGGUAUGAUCAAUUACAGAUUGCAGUAUGAUUAAAGAUAUGUUGGAGUUAUAUACUAGAGUAAGAAGUACAAAUUUGGGAGGUUGAAAUAAGAGAAUAAGGUGACUGCAAUUGACAAUAGUAGAGAGAAUACGGUAAUUAGUGACUGCAAGUUCCAGGAUGUGGACAUGGUAGUUGAGUGAAAGCAGAGUCAUGGAAAGAGAUUAAUUAAAGAUAUUGAGAAACUUGGGUAUUAAAAGAAAUAUCUAAGUGGAUUUUGAAAUUAUUAAGAUUUAUGACAGGAGCAGUGAGCUAAGAGCUAAAUAAAAUUAUUCCUUAGAACAUGUAAUUGUGUUAGGUAUGCAAAAAACAGUUUUUAAAAAUUAAUCAUAAAACUUUUCUACAGUGACAGGAAGUUCAGGUUAAUUUACUGAAAAGUGGUAUACUGCAGUGGUUUUAUAGAUGUAUAUUCUAACAUCACAUCUUGUUUCUAAGGCUUAAUUGCUUUAUGGCCUUGGUCAAGUUAUUACCUUCUCUAUCAGUUUCCCUGGGCAUAAUCAUAAUACUUAGGGUUGUUGUAAAGAUGUGUGAUGAAUAUAAAAUACUUAACGAGUCUGAUAUAUGUAUAUCUAUAUUGUAUUCAAAUUCUCCAUAAAUAUUAACUCUUGUAGUAGUAGUUGUGGUGGUUCUCAACUCACACCGAUUCCAAAGGUGACGUAAACAUUCUGAGAUCUUAGACAGUCAAUUUCUCCACUGUGAUGACCAGAACUUCUAUUGCCUCUGUUCAGCAGGAAAAUUUCCUCUAUUAUUCAAGUUUCUUCUAGCUGAUCUAAGAAUUAAAUUGACAUGAGACAUAAUUCAUAAUUUCAAGAAAUGUGCUUCUUCAAAAUAUAAUCUUUCAGUAAAACAUAAAAUGUUCAGUAUCAGACUCAAGCUUAUCUUUAGUUUCUCUGUAACAAGGAAGCCAAAAGUAGAUAAAUCUAUGUUCAGUAAUUAAUGUUUCAUUAUUUUAUCAUACUUGGAAAUGAUUUAUUAGAUAUUCCUUAAAUUUACCUUAACUCCUCAGUUAGCAAAACUUUUAGGUUUCAGAUUACCAAAAAGAUUUGGGGACAAUAUUUUAAAAGUUUACCUAAAACCUUUUUAUCUUACCUAUAUCUGUCUAACUUACUUGUUCUUAACAAUUAUGUGUAGGUUGCCCACAAAAACAACUCUGUCUGCAGAAUCUGACAUUAUUCUCAGUUUAUAUUGUUUUGGGCUGACAAGUUUUGCAGUAGAGAUUACAUGAACUUAUUUGACUUUCAGUAAACCCAGGUGGAAUAAAAGUAUUAUUUUAAUGCUGAUAACUCUAAAGACAUGUCUAUUUUAAUUAAACUAAAACCUUCAGUUAGUUUUAAUACCAAAUACUUUCCCAGAUCACAUGAAGUUGAAAUUCAUUUGGAUUUUCUUUUUUCUUUUUGAGAAAUUUUAGGAAUUCAAAAUAAUUAUGUGCUUAAUUUUCUUUAAGCAAAUUAAACAGAGGUCUUUUACAAAUUAAUUUUAGCAAUACCAACUGGAGGUAGAAACAGCCAUAUAUCUACAAUAGAUACAUAUACUGACAAAGGCAGAAGCCUUACAGUUAGCAAUAUUUGAAGAGAAAAAGGGGCAAGAGAGCCCUUUUGCAGUGUACUUUUUAAAAAGAGCUGCUUUCAGGGGGUGCCCAGGUGGCUCAUUUGGUUGAGCCAAAUGACUCAAUUUUGACUCAGGUCAUGAUCUCCUGAUUCAUGAGUUUGAGUUCCACAUAGGGCUCUGUACUGACAGCUCAGAGCCUGGAGCCUGCUUCGGAUUCUUUGUCUCCCUCUCUGCAUCUCCCCAACUUGUGCUCUGUUUCUCUCUCUCGAAAAUAAAUAAGAAUUUAAAAAAAAAAAAAAAGGCCUGCUUCCUUCUUUUUUUCCUUUGCCUUGGUAGUUGUGGGCUGUAUUUACACUUCAGAGAUACAAGAUUUAUGACUUUAAGGGACAGAAAAAGAAUGUAAAUUGUGUGUGUGUGUGUGUUUUCUAGGAGUUACAGGAUAAUUGCUGUUUAGAAUUUACCUUUUUCUAAAAUACAGGACAAUUUUGCUUCAAUAUCCUGAUCUUUAUAGUAUCUAUAAACGUGUCAAGAGGAAUAGGUGAGGUUUUGGAAUUGGUAGAGACUGCGGGGGGGGGGGGGGAGGGGGUGAUUUGCUUCUAGAGUUGCAUUUUUGGUUUUGUAGAAAUUUGGCAGGCAAACUUGUUUCUAAUUCCCACAAAGAACUGAAUUACAGCUAGAAUAUCAGGAUUGAUCAGCCAUUUUAACUAAACUUGCCUCUUUAGAUCAGGGAGAUUUCAACUAAAGUGGGAAUCAGAAGAUUUAUAUCUUUGUAAAAAAUUCUGUAAAAAUUAUUUUAACAGAAGCCUUCACAAUUCAAUGUUGGCUUCUGUUAGCCCCUGAAUAUCAGCCUCCUGCUGUUCAUUUGUAGGAAGGCCAGAAGAAAUUAUGGGCAUCUGUUUAUUCUGUAGUGGGGAGGUUGUGAGUGGCUACUAAUCUUCUAAUUUCUUUCUAAAUUUGGUGGGCUCUUCUGAAAGUGGAGGUAAAAACGGGCUUUGUAAUUUUUAAGAUUUACUGCUCUCCUAGGGACAUGAAAUUUUUUUCCCCCUGGGUGGGGUGGUUCAGGAUAUAUCUACAAAUGAUAUUGCAUAGGAAUGCCUACAGCUGGCAGAGCCUGAUUACAGAGCUCUGGAAAGUAGGAGUUCUUAUGAAACAGGAAAGUGAGCCGUAUCACUUGCUUCAGUGCUUUUGUUAAAUUCCACUUCAUGGGUUUUUAUUUAGCAUUGACAUAAGUAACCUAUAUACUUUGAAUCUAGAGUUUAGGCUGGAGUACUUUUUGUAGGGAAAGGGAAGUUAAAAUAGGCAGAUGGGGCCAGAUUUUAAGAAGGGGAAUUUACUUUGAAUGUAGACAUCAGUAUUUGUCUUAGGUCUAAUUUCUCUUUCAUUUUGUCAAGGGAAUCCCUAAGGCUCGCAAUUAUUAUACUAUUAAGACAAGUAAGAGCUCUAUAUAAAGAAGUUUUUUUGAAACAGCCAAUGUGAAGGAUUUAUUGUCUCACCAUUGAUGAGUAAGAUUUUAUUUUUUUAUUUAAAAAAACUUAUUUUUUAAUGUUUAUUUUUUGAGAGAGAUAGAGACAGAGCAUGAGCGGGUGAGGGGCAGAAAGGGCAGGAGACGUAGAAUCUGAAGCAAGCUCCAGACUCCAAACUGUCGGCGCUGAGCCCAAUGCAGGACUCGAACUCAUGAACUGCAAAAUGAUGACCUGAGCCAAAGUUGGAUGCAUAACCGCUGAGCCACCCAGGCACCCCAAGAUCUUACUAAUUUUAAUAGCAACUCAAACCGAUAAGCCUUUUUAUGGAAAGACUCCUAGGUGACUUUCUAGGCUUAGGCCAUGAAUGUGAGAGGCAUAUCUAGAGGGCAUAGAUGAUAGAUACAGUUCUCAUGAUCCCAAAGUUAGCUCCCAGAAAUAGUCUAAGGAAGCAAAAACCUUUGUUACAUAGGCAGUGUGGAUGAGUUUAGUGAAAACAGUGUCUUUGAUAGCACACAGAAACCUAAGAUACCUCUAGUCAUAGACCCACUAAUCUGUGACACCAGGCAGAUGCUACUGGAAUGGGACUUUUCGGCAGUAAUAAGCAGCAAACCACAAAAGUCCCUUAUGGACUGGGACCUUUUAUGACUUACCUUUCUGAGAGCUGGCUUGGCUGGACAAAGAGAGUGCUGCUUUCAACUUCGUAUCUCACAUCCUCACUCUCUGUGGCUACCAAGGUGCACCCCAGUAAGUACACCCUCCAGAGUGGUGGAGACCAGAGAGAAUAUAUUCACAGAUCACAAAUCCAAGUUCUCAAGACAUAAAGCAAGACAAAAGGAAAAACCUCAUCCAGUUUUUACGUGGGAGACCCACACAGCAAAGUUUGUCAAAACAUAUGCCAGUCUGAUGAGAAUUGUGAACUCAGAAGUCUGUAAUACUAGUUUGAACAGCAGACUUGUAAGGGACUUUGCUGAUAUUCUUAACCUGUAGUAAUUCCUUUUUAUAACAAUGGAGCGAUGAUCUCUGGGAGGAAAUCAGUAAAAACCAAGAGUACUCUCUACCAAAUUAAUUCGAAUUGCUAAGCCCAAGCAACUAUUUCCAAAAAUAUUUUCUCUCGCUCCUCUAAAUUUAGAAAGAAAAAGGACUCAUGCCGCUUGUUCCACCGGACCUUGCAGACAGAUUGCAGGAGGUUGACAUGGUAAGAAAUCUUACCUUUUGCCAGCUGUCUCAGAUGUGCCAGGAUUUCUCAACUACAGCAAUCUCAGGGUGAGCAAUAUUUAGC